UACGUAGGGUGCAAGCGUUAAUCGGAAUUACUGGGCGUAAAGCGUGCGCAGGCGGUUUUGUAAGUCAGCUGUGAAAUCCCCGGGCUCAACCUGGGAAUGGCAGAUGAGACUGCAGGGCUGGAGUGUGUCAGAGGGGGGCAGAAUUCCACGUGUAGCAGUGAAAUGCGUAGAGAUGUGGAGGAAUACCGAUGGCGAAGGCAGCCCCCUGGGAUAACACUGACGCUCAUGCACGAAAGCGUGGGGAGCAAACAGG
rnacentral:rRNA from 1 species